GGCUCGGUGGUGGACGGUCCACACCUGCAUUCCUUGAACGAUUCAGAUUCAUGUAAGCAGGAGGAGCCCGUUCGAUUCGGGCCCGAGCCA